rnacentral:rRNA from 1 species
AACCUGGUUGAUCCUGCCAGUAGUCAUAUGCUUGUCUCAAAGACUAAGCCAUGCAUGUCUAAGUAUAAGUAUUAUACAGCGAAACUGCGAAUGGCUCAUUAAAACAGUUAUAAUUUAUUUGAUAAUCGAAUUUACAUGGAUAACCGUGGUAAUUCUAGAGCUAAUACAUGCUGGUAGGCCCGACUUUUUGGAAGGGCGGUAUUUAUUAGAUAACAAACCAAUAUUCCUCUGGUCUAUUGUGGUGAAUCAUAAUAACUGAUCGAAUCGCAAGGUUUUUAACCGCGAUAAGUCAUUCAAGUUUCUGCCCCAUCAGCUUUCGAUGGUAGUGUAUUGGACUACCAUGGCUUUUACGGGUAACGGAGGAUUAGGGUUCGAUUCCGGAGAGGGGGCCUGAGAAACGGCUACCACAUCUAAGGAAGGCAGCAGGCGCGUAAAUUACCCAAUCCUGACUCAGGGAGGUAGUGACAAGAAAUAACGGACCGA